UUUAUCGGAGAAAAUCACUGUGGGGGAUUCAUAACAUUCUUUCCUUGAACACAAUUCAUUUGGAAAUUUUAAAAAUUUGAUUCUUUAGAUUCUGUGGCGGAAUUUUCUAAUAAUUUUUCUUGCAGAUUGUUUUGUGGCUCUGCCGAGAUUCAUUUACCAUUUGAUUGUUAUUCCUUGGCAUUAUUUUUUCCAAGACGAGGGCUUUCAGAGAAAGUUGUAAACUGAUCACUGAAAAGUGCAAAAGGACGGCUAAAUUAGGUUGACUUACUAAGGAAAGUUUUGUCGGCUCAAAACAUCUUAUUAGCUAGUCCUAGAAGCACCAUGAACAUGAAUCACCCUCAUCCAUAUGGUGAAGAUCAAGAUGAAGCCACUGUCAUGGGCUUUGAAGUUGCAAGAUCACCUGAUGCAAGUUACAACAAUGUGUAUCCUGGGCAUGAAGAUGUAGGGAGGGAACCACCGGCGGUACCGCCACAUCUGCAUCACACCUUGCUAAACCACCCAACAACAAGAGAUCAAUCCACAUCCCUCCCUUUGCCACAGAACGUGGUGCUAAACCAUCUCUAUAUUGAGAACAGAGAAGCCACGAGGUCAGUUGUAGCACUUGGUGUAACACAUCGUUUUCGCUCAAAAUAUGUUACGGUCAUGCUUUACAAGCCCGUUCAAGGAAGGUGAGCUAGCAUGUCGAACAUGCCUGAAUGUAUACACCAUCUUUGGCUUGUACUCUGAUGGAAAACAGUAGACGUAAAUACACAGCAGUCUGCAGUGGAGAAUGUUUAUUUCUUCCCAGGACUUGAAUAAUUGUAGUUAGAUGUUCGAUGGUUUUAAAAAGUUUACAUGUAUUAUGGCAAAAAGUUAGUGAUGUCCCUGUUAGUUUGGCUUAGCAAUUAUGUAACAUUGUGCGGUUAUUGGACUAGCGCAUCAAUCUUGAUGAGUGUAAAGCAUCUGCUUAGAAUUAGGAAUUUGGGAAGUUUACAUGUAAUAUGGCAAGAAGUUACUAGUGUCCCUAUUAGGUUGGCUUACGAUUCUGCUUGUGAAGUUAUUGGAGUAAGGCAUUCGAUGUUGAUGAGUGUGAAAA